GAUGAACGCUGGCGGCGUGCCUAAUACAUGCAAGUCGAGCGAACAGACGAGGAGCUUGCUCCUCUGACGUUAGCGGCGGACGGGUGAGUAACACGUGGAUAACCUACCUAUCAGACUGGGAUAACUUCGGGAAACCGGAGCUAAUACCGGAUAAUAUAUUGAACCGCAUGGUUCAAUAGUGAAAGACGGCUUUGCUGUCACGUCUAGCUGGAUCCGCGCCGCAUUAGCUAGUUGGUAAGGUAACGGCUUACCAAGGCAACGAUGCGUAGCCGACCUGUGGGACGGAUCGGCCACACUGGAACUGAGACACGGUCCAGACUCCUACGGGAGGCAGCAGUAGGGAAUCUUCCGCAAUAGGCGAAAGCCUGACGGAGCAGCGCCGCGUGAGUGAUGAAGGUCUUCGGAUCGUAAAACUCUGUUAUUAGGGAAGAACAAAUGUGUAAGUAACUAUGCACGUCUUGACGGUACCUAAUCAGAAAGCCACGGCUAACUACGUG
rnacentral:rRNA from 1 species